rnacentral:rRNA from 1 species
GACGAACGCUGGCGGCGUGCUUAACACAUGCAAGUCGAACGGAAAGGCCCUGCUUUUGUGGGGUGCUCGAGUGGCGAACGGGUGAGUAACACGUGAGUAACCUGCCCCUGACUUUGGGAUAACUUCAGGAAACUGGGGCUAAUACCGGAUAGGAGCUCCUGCUGCAUGGUGGGGGUUGGAAAGUUUCGGCGGUUGGGGAUGGACUCGCGGGUUAUCAGCUUCUUGGUGGGGUAGUGGCUUACCAAGGCUAUGAAGGGUAGCCGGCCUGGGAGGGUGAACGGCGACAUUGGGACUGAGAUACGGCGCAGACUCCUACGGGACGCAGCAGUCGGGAAUAUUGCACAGUGGGCGGAAGCCUGAUGCGGCAGCGCCGGGUGCGUGAUGACGGCCUUCGGGUUGUAAACCGCUUUCGCCGGUGACGAAGCGUGAGUGACGGUAAUGGGUAAAGAAGCAACGGCUAACUACGUG